GUAUUAUUAAGGUAUUUGCUCGUGUGUUUGUGUAUCUGCAUAGUACUGUAUGGGAACUGCUGAGUCAUGGUCUGAACCACUAAUUGAGUGCCUGGAGACAAGACCAGGUCAGCCCUGGAAGCGCAGGUGAAGGUAGUUCACAUCUUAGACCUCAUUUAAGGGCUGACUGACACUGAGAAAGGGUCUUUUGCUGGAGAUCCCUCUUCUGUGGAGUUUUUUCUGCAAGCCUAGAUCUUCAGAAAUGGGACCCCAAAUCAGACACAAGCUGGUUUUAUUAUCUAAUUUUCAGUGUUUAUGGAAGAUGCAACUUAAUUUAAAAGGUCUGAAUGCCUCUUUUCUUUCCCUGUCGUUCAUGAGAACAAUCAAACAGAUCCUCACAGAUUUCAAGAACCAGAACCCAGCGUGAACACCAGAAUGAUAAGGGGAAACAUUCAGAUGCUUUCAAUGGCAAAAGAAAAUUCAUAAACUGCUUAUAAUGAAGAAGUGAUUGUUGAAAAUUGAGUUUUCUGUUCUUGUACUUUACUGGCAUUCAGCUCUUCAAAGCGAUAGCAAAUAUUCUAUUGGUUAACAUUUAACCCAAACUAAUAGGUCCAAUCUCACAUUCUCAAAUAAAUCAUAAUGUCUUUUCAAUUAGUUUGCACUUUCACUGGCUGCUGUCCUGAAUAAUUAGGAAAACAAUUCACAUUUCACUAGGAGAUGAUAUGAAGUGUUAUUCCUGUGAUAAUUAGCGAGCUGCAGUUCAGCUUCCCUGGCUCCCACCAGGUCAUCAGGGCACAAAAGAGGACACCAUGAGAGCAUUAAUGAGCUCUCAUUGAAGAUGUUAAAAAGCUUGUAUUGAUCUGUUUGUCCAAGAAGGAGAUAUUUAAGCCUUUCUGCUGAGGGCAGGAGAGACAGAGAUUCAUAUCACAAAGCCUUUUAUCCAACCCCUUCUGUUUCUGGCUUCAAUAUUGCCCAGUCUCAGCAUGUCUGGUUCUAGAGGUCAUACUUUUAAACUUUCACAACAUUUUUUUUCUUUUCCCCUUUCUUCUUUUUGUUUAAAAAAAAAAAAAAAAAAAAAAAAGGAAAGAAAGAAAAAAGGGUAAUAUACAGUGUACACUUAACCUUUACUACAGGGAUCCCUUUACACAGCUCGCUGUUUCUGAGAACAGGCUUCAGUGCAGUAAGAUUUCCGUUCUCACUCUAUCCCGCUCACAUUCAUCUCAAUUAAAUUCAGAGAGUCUAGACAAUACAAGGACCAACUCAGUGCAAAUUUUUGCUCAUAGUUUGGAAGCACAUCCAACAAAAUCACUUUUUUUGGAUGUUCAAUCAGACUUUUCUCUCUAUUGUCACCGCCUUUUUUGUGAACUCCUGGACUUACUAUUUCUAGCUGGAAGUAGAAGUGAAAGAAGUAAGUGUAAGGCUGCAAAAUCACCAUUUCUUGUGGUAUUUUCACAUGAGGUUUCUCACUGCAGGAAAGGGAGGCAAAUCCUGUCCUGCCUUCAACACUCUGCAUUGUUAUGAUAUAUUGCAGCAGUAAACUUGUUCUGGGUACACUUACCUACUCACCAAUUUUGUCUACUCUCUUUUAAGUGCCACAAUGAGCUGUCAGUGAGGAUUCCCAGCCUGCCUGUGAUAGAGUUUGGGAUGAAUUUUCAUAUAACUGUAAAAGCUGUGGGUUUUUUGUUUUGUUUUGUUUUUGUUGUUGCUUUUUAAUUAUUAUCAUCCUUCUUACUUGAACUAGCUAUGGUCUCACUCAGCAAGAUCGUAUCUCUCUUUUCAUAGUAUCUCAUUCACAUUCAACUCUGUAGGAGCAAUUCAGCGGGUCCAUUUGUGUGUAUCCAUUGUAAAUGGCCAAUGAAGUAAUACUCUGGGACCUCUAGAUGAAUGCAGAAUCCUCAGUACACUUCUUUGUUUUUUCAUGGUCUGCCUCACCUGACACAGCAGGCUGGUGGAUGAACCUCACAACCAACAUUGGGAAUUCUGCAGCCUGCUUCUACUUACCUUGUAUCAACUCAAGAUUAUCAGUUUCAGAUGAAAAUAAACAUGAAUGAAUGCACACACAAAUUAUUCUUGCUGUGAUGUGAUGCAGUAAUCUCCAGUUUGGGAACUGAGCUGGCAAAAGAGGUCAUAUGCAUCCUUCCACUUGUGACCAUUUAAAAAAGAUGUGAGGGAACGAUUCAUGAACAAGUAAAAUUGGACAUGGGUAGCAAAUAGUGACCCUCGGUGAGUGACAACUGAGGUUAUGUGGAUGAAUACUAAACAUGAAAAGCCUGAAUUAUUCAUGGGAGGUUCAAGGUAAAAGGGU
ensembl:lncRNA